GCUCCUCGAUUUCUCCUAGGAAGCCGAAGAGCGUCCGCAUCUGCUCGCUGGUUACUGCCGAGGAGAGGUUGGUGACUUGGAUGACGGAGAGACAAUCCACUGAUAUCAUGCAUCAUCAUCUGUCUUCCUCAAAGAGAAGGAAAGAUCCUAACUAAGACUCUUAUGACUGAUGGCCAGAAUUGUCCACUGUAGCAAAGCAGCUAUACUUUGUUUGAUUGACAUGAUAUUGAACAGCAUUUGAAAGAAUGCAAGUGUCAGCACGGGAUCGAUGGCCGCUGCUCCCCCGUCGACUUUGCUUCCACCUCUUGCCGAGCUGGAACUCCGCUGUCAAUGGGAGAGCUAUCGGGGAUCGGUUUAUCACAUCUACACCCCUGAUAGAUCAAUCGCUACCCGCCCUUCCAGUCCUAUGAUUCUACAAUAUUAACAGAAGUAUCAUAGGUAAGACGCAGGAGGUAAUUGUUCCACUCUACUUAGCAAUGGUGAGGCCUCAGCUGGAGUCCAGUUUUUGGCACCACACUGUAAGAAUGACAAACAAAUUGAAGAACGUUCAAAAGAGAGC